CCUACGGGAGGCAGCAGUGGGGAAUCUUGCGCAAUGGGCGAAAGCCUGACGCAGCCAUGCCGCGUGAAUGAUGAAGGUCUUAGGAUUGUAAAAUUCUUUCACCGGGGACGAUAAUGACGGUACCCGGAGAAGAAGCCCCGGCUAACUUCGUGCCAGCAGCCGCGGUAAUACGAAGGGGGCUAGCGUUGCUCGGAAUUACUGGGCGUAAAGGGAGCGUAGGCGGAUAGUUUAGUCAGAGGUGAAAGCCCAGGGCUCAACCUUGGAAUUGCCCUUGAUACUGGCUAUCUUGAGUACGGAAGAGGUAUGUGGAACUCCGAGUGUAGAGGUGAAAUUCGUAGAUAUUCGGAAGAACACCAGUGGCGAAGGCGACAUACUGGUCCGUUACUGACGCUGAGGCUCGAAAGCGUGGGGAGCAAACAGGAUUAGAUACCCUGGUAGUCCACGCUGUAAACGAUGAGUGCUAGUUGUCGGCAUGCAUGCAUGUCGGUGACGCAGCUAACGCAUUAAGCACUCCGCCUGGGGAGUACGGUCGCAAGAUUAAAACUCAAAGGAAUUGACGG
rnacentral:rRNA from 1 species